UAUACUAUAGUAUACGAAGUACAUUAAAUUUUGAUUUUAAUAGAUUUGGUUUGAUUCCUCUUAGUAUAA
rnacentral:tRNA from 1 species